rnacentral:misc_RNA from 1 species
GAUGAAGAACGCAGCGAAAUGCGAUAAGUAAUGUGAAUUGCAGAAUUCAGUGAAUCAUCGAAUCUUUAAACGCACAUUGCGCCCCCUGGUAUUCCGGGGGGCAUGCCUGUUCGAGCGUCAUUUCACCACUCAAGCCUCGCUUGGUAUUGGGCAACGCGGUCCGCCGCGUGCCUCAAAUCGACCGGCUGGGUCUUCUGUCCCCUAAGCGUUGUGGAAACUAUUCGCUAAAGGGUGUUCGGGAGGCUACGCCGUAAAACAACCCCAUUUCUAAGGUUGACCUCGGAUCAGGUAGGGAUACCCGCUGAACUUAAGCAUAUCAAUAAGCGGAGGA